GUUUGCUCUGCUGUGCUCCAUCACCUUCACCUAAAGAUGCAUCCUGACUUAUCUCCACACUUGCACACUGAAGAAUGCAACGUCUUGAUUAACUUGCUUAAGGAAUGUCACAAAAAUCACAGCAUUCUGAAAUUUUUUGGCCAUUGCAAUGAUCUUGACCGGGAGAUGAGAAAAUGCUUGAAGAAAGAGUACAUGGAAAAGAGGACCAAGAGCAGGGAGCGUGGCAAUGCAAUGCGAAAGAGAAUUUUUAAUCCUGCAGAGGAAUCUGAAAAAUAAGAUUAUAUUUUCAUUGGAUACCUAAGAGAAGAUCUAAAGACUCUUACUUGAUAGCUGAAAGAAUCCUAUCUCCAGAAUCCUCUGAAUGGAAAGUGACCCAUGUGAAAUCAAGCCAUGGAGGAGUUCAGAAAGUCUGGGUUCUCAGUAUUCAUGGGGCAGCAAAUCUAACUUCUAACAUGUUUCUUUCUACUGCCUACAACUAGAUAACAUUCAAGGCCUUAUUUUUUUACAACAAACUUCAUGAAUCCAAAAUGACUAUUUCAGGCUGUGUCGAGAGUCAGAAUACUACUAUAAUGGCAAAGAGUUUGGAGUCAGACAGACCUACAUCCAGGCCCAGCUCUGUCAUCUAUGAGUUCUGGUGAUGGAGGGCAAAUUUACUUAAACUUUCUGAACCUCAGUUUCUUCAACUGUAAAAUGGGAAUAAUUCCAGUACCUAUUUCAUGAAGUAAUGGAGUUGAAAACGCAGAAGUUCAAUUGCAAAUAUUUACCUCGUUUCCUUUUGAACUUGUCUUCUCAAUCUCCCCCUGGAGGAGAGUGAGAUGUGAAAACCAGGCUUCAGGACCAUCUGAUUGAUUGAGCACCAUAGCAAAAGAUUUACACAGAGAAGAAGAAUGAGGCUAGGACCCUGCUCUCAAAGAACUCGUCAUGAAGCCUGCCAAGUUUUCAGCAUUGUUUGGGAUCGUGAAGUGAAUGAAUCAAGAAACACUAGACGCAAGGAAACAGAAGGAAAAAGCAAAAUAAACUAUUAAAUCCAGGAUGGCCCAGAUAUUGGAUUUGGACAAUGAACACUGUAUAGGAGCUAUUAUACAGGUAAUCUUGAC